UACGAAGGGGGCUAGCGUUGCUCGGAAUCACUGGGCGUAAAGCGCACGUAGGCGGAUUGUUAAGUCAGGGGUGAAAUCCUGGAGCUCAACUCCAGAACUGCCUUUGAUACUGGCGAUCUCGAGUCCGGGAGAGGUGAGUGGAACUGCGAGUGUAGAGGUGAAAUUCGUAGAUAUUCGCAAGAACACCAGUGGCGAAGGCGGCUCACUGGCCCGGUACUGACGCUGAGGUGCGAAAGCGUGGGGAGCAAACA
rnacentral:rRNA from 1 species